rnacentral:tRNA from 1 species
GGCCAGUCAGUAAAGCAUGGGACUCUUAAUCCCAGGGUCGUGGGUUCGAGCCCCAC